CAUUCUGGGGGUUGUUUUGGCUAUUGGUUGCUUGCUUGGCAUUGUGCUAGGUAGGUGGUCGCUAGUUAGAUGAUCUUCGGGGAUGCUAACCGUAAAGGUGCAUGAGUGGUGAUUGGUUUGUUACGGGUGGUUGGCUCUUUGCUUGCGCAACAACUUCCACCUGGCUUACCUCCUCAGUUAUGCGUCAUGACUUGUAUCGUCUUGAGCGUAUUGUGGGUUUCCUGUGUUGCAUACCUUUCUAAUGGUAUCSUGUUGAUUGAUCGAAGUCCCUUUUCAUCUUGUGUUGCUUUUUGCGACGCAUGAUGAACCUCGAGGCGGUCUCUAUGUUCCACCACGUUGAUGCUAGCGUUUUAAUGUUGUGGCCCAUUGAGUGUUGCUUGGUUUCGUGGAUACAGAACAUGAUUUGGGCAUAGGGUUACUUGUGACUCUUGUUUUGUCCUUUAUCUGUGUUCUUUAUAACGACGGUUCAUGCGCGCCUAGGCUCGUACCUGCGCGAUGUUCUUUGUCGAAGAGGAAUGC
rnacentral:misc_RNA from 1 species